UGGCUGAGUGGUAAAGUGCUUGACUUCCAAACCAGGAGUCCCAGGUUUGAAUCCUGG
rfam:Biomphalaria glabrata isolate BB02 unplaced genomic scaffold LGTN_random_Scaffold613, whole genome shotgun sequence.